UACAGAGGGUGCGAGCGUUAAUCGGAAUGACUGGGCGUAAAGGGCGCGUAGGCGGUUAUAUAAGUGAGAUGUGAAAUCCCUGGGCUUAACCUAGGAAUUGCAUUUUAGACUGUAUGGCUAGAGUGCAGUAGAGGGUGGUGGAAUUUCCGGUGUAGCGGUGAAAUGCGCAGAUAUCAGGAGGAACACCGAUGGCGAAGGCAGGUCUCUGGGCCACUACUGACGCUGAGAAGCGAAAGCAUGGGGAGCGAACAGG
rnacentral:rRNA from 1 species